CUCAAAUGGUUGUACUUGAACAGAUUCAUCUGUAAUAACCAACAGGUCUUCUAACGUGUUGGGCUUUUCAGGGUCUCUAAUUGUCUUCAGCAUGUCAGUGAUA